rnacentral:rRNA from 1 species
UGCGUAGGCGGCGUUGAAAGUCAGAGGUGAAAUCCCACAGCUCAACUGUGGAAUUGCCUUUGAUACUGUAAUGCUUGAAUCAGGUUGAGGUCGGCGGAAUGUGGCAUGUAGCGGUGAAAUGCUUAGAUAUGCCAUAGAACACCAAUUGCGAAGGCAGCUGGCUAGACCUGUAUUGACGCUGAGGCACGAAAGCGUGGGGAGCGAACAGGAUUAGAUACCCUGGUAGUCC